rnacentral:rRNA from 1 species
ACGGGGUGCAGCAGGCGCGAAAACUCCACAAUGCGCGAAAGCGUGAUGGGGUUACCCCGAGUGCCCUCCGUUGAGGAGGGCUUUUACCCAGUGUAAGGAGCUGAGAGAAUAAAGGGGGGGCAAGACUGGUGUCAGCCGCCGCGGUAAUACCAGCUCCCUGAGUGAUAGGGGCGAUUGUUUAGCCUAAAGCGUCCGUAGCCGGCUUAGUAAGUCUUUCGUUAAAUCUGACGAUCUAAUCGUUAGGCCGCGGAAGAUACUGCAAGGCUAGAGGGCGGGAGAGGUUGACGGUAGUCCCGGGGUAGGGGUGAAAUCCUAUAAUCCCGGGAGGACCACCAGUGGCGAAGGCGGUCAACUAGAACGCGCCUGACGGUGAGGGACGAAAGCUGGGGGAGCGAACCGGAUUAGACACCCGGGUAGUCCCAGCUGUAAACAAUGCGAGCUAGGUGUUGGGGCAGCUACGAGCUGCCCCGGUGCCGCAGAGAAGUCGUUAAGCAUGCCGCCUGGGAAGUACGAUCGCAAGAUUGAAACUUAAAGGAAUUGGCGGGGGAGCAC